rnacentral:autocatalytically_spliced_intron from 1 species
AGAGUUUCUUACGAAGAACGACUAGCCACCGACUUCGGCCUCUGGCGGAGGCGCGACUGCGGUAACAAUGUUGUGCUGAGCGUCCGUACCAGGGAAAUCGCAGGCAAGCUAUUGAGCUCCGAAAUCAGCCUUUUCGCUCGCCGAGGGUGAAAACA